rnacentral:rRNA from 1 species
AACAAACGCUGGCGGCGUGCCUAAUACAUGCAAGUCGAACGGGGAAAGCUUUCGGGUGAGUACUAGUGGCGCACGGGUGAGUAACGCGUGGAUAAUCUGCCUUAGAGUGGGGGAUAACUAGUCGAAAGAUUAGCUAAUACCGCAUAAGACCACAAGAACUGCGGUUCAAGGGGUCAAAGGUUUUUCGCUCUAAGAUGAGUCCGCGUAAGAUUAGCUAGUUGGUGAGGUAAUGGCUCACCAAGGCGACGAUCUUUAACUGGACUGAGGGGAUGAUAAGUCACAAUGGAACUGAGACGCGAUCCAGAUUCCUGCGGGAGGCAGCAGUAGGGAAUAUUGCACAAUGGAGGAAACUCUGAUGCAGCGACGCCGCGUGAGUGAUGAAGGCCUUCGGGUCGUAAAGCUCUGUCGCAAGGGAAUAACACAAUGAAUGUACCUUGCAAGAAAGGAUCGGCUAACUUCGUGCCAGCAGCCGCCGUAAAAC